UGCCUGGUAGCGGGGGAUAACUAUUGGAAACGAUAGCUAAUACCGCAUAAGAGUAGAUGUUGCAUGACAUUUGCUUAAAAGGUGCAAUUGCAUCACUACCAGAUGGACCUGCGUUGUAUUAGCUAGUUGGUGGGGUGACGGCUCACCAAGGCGACGAUACAUAGCCGACCUGAGAGGGUGAUCGGCCACACUGGGACUGAGACACGGCCCAGACUCCUACGGGAGGCAGCAGAC
rnacentral:rRNA from 1 species